rnacentral:rRNA from 1 species
GUCGAACGGCAGCAUGGAGAGCUUGCUCUCUGAUGGCGAGUGGCGAACGGGUGAGUAAUAUAUCGGAACGUGCCCAGUAAUGGGGAAUAACUAAUUGAAAGAUUAGCUAAUACCGCAUACGACCUACGGGUGAAAGCAGGGGAUCUUCGGACCUUGCGUUAUUGGAGCGGCCGAUAUCUGAUUAGCUAGUUGGUGGGGUAAAAGCCUACCAAGGCGACGAUCAGUAGCUGGUCUGAGAGGACGAUCAGCCACACUGGAACUGAGACACGGUCCAGACUCCUACGGGAGGCAGCAGUGGGGAAUUUUGGACAAUGGGGGAAACCCUGAUCCAGCCAUCCCGCGUGAGUGAAGAAGGCCUUCGGGUUGUAAAGCUCUUUCGGAAGUGAAGAAAACUUAUUUCGUAAUAUGUUAUAAGAAUGACGGUAACUUUAGAAGAAGCACCGGCUAACUACGUGCCAGCAGCCGCGGUAAUACGUAGGGUGCGAGCGUUAAUCGGAAUUACUGGGCGUAAAGCGUGCGCAGGCGGUUUUGUAAGUCAGAUGUGAAAUCCCCGAGCUUAACUUGGGAACUGCGUUUGAAACUACAAGACUAGAGUGUGUCAGAGGGGGGUAGAAUUCCACGUGUAGCAGUGAAAUGCGUAGAGAUGUGGAGGAAUAUCAAUGGCGAAGGCAGCCCCCUGGGAUAACACUGACGCUCAUGC